ensembl:lncRNA
GCCCUAUCCAGUUAAAUGGUGGAGAGUUCAGGAGCUGUGAGCAAUGCAUCAACCUACAUGAAUAGGUUGGUGUAUUGGGGUGGCCUGUUCUGUCCUCUGUAUUUCAGACCAAGGCAAGACAAUGUUUAAAGCUUACCAUGGAUCUACAAACAGUGUCAACUUGAAUUUGAGUGUGGCUGUGGAAGACUGGUUCCUUGAUGAUGUCUGCAAUGAUCUCUGAUUCCAUCCCGUCAUGCCAAGGUUCACAAUCUGUCCGAAGAAUGCAAACUCUAUUCAAUUGUCCACUUUGCAACAAACAUACUUUCUCUGUGUCCAGACUACUCACAUAUUGGCCUCUAUCACCAGCACAAACUAAAUUGCAUAAUUACCUGUGGAUUUAAUAGGUGCUGGAAAACAUAUACAGUACAUUGGGAAAGUAUUCAGACCCCUUCCCUUUUUCCACAUGUUGUUAUGUUACAGCCUUAUUCUAAAAUGGAUUAAAUUAAUUGUUUUCCUUAUCAAUCUACACACAAUACUCCAUAAUGACAAAGCAAAAACAAAGCAAAAACACCUCAGGGAGGUGACCAAGAACCUCCUUGGUCACUCUGACAGAGCUCCAGAGUUCCUCUGUGGAGAUGGGAGAACCUUCCUGAAGGACAACCAUCUCUGCAGCACUCCACCAAUCAGGCCUUGAUGGUAGAGUGGCCAGACAGAAGCCACUCCUCAGUAACAGGUACAUGACAGCCUGCUUGGAGUUUACCAAAAGGUACCUAAAGGACUCUCAGACCAUGAGAAACAAGAUUCUCUGGUCUGAUGAAACCAAGAUUGAACUCUUUGGCCUGAAUGCCAAGUGUCACGUCUGGAGGAAACCUGGCACCAUCCCUACGGUGAAGCAUGGUGGUGGCAGCAUCAUGCUGUGAGGAUGUGUUUCAGCAGCAGGGACUGGGGGACUAGUCAGGAUCAAGGGAAAGAUGAACAGAGCAAAGUACAGAGAUCCUUGAUGAAAACAUGCUCCAGAGCGCCCAGGACCUUAGACUGGGGUGAAGGUUCACCUUCCAACAGUAGGUUCACCUUCCAACAGUAGGUUCACCUUCCAACAGUAGGUUCACCUUCCAACAGUAGGUUCACCUUCCAACAGUAGGUUCACCUUCCAACAGUAGGUUCACCUUCCAACAGUAGGUUCACCUUCCAACAGUUCGCAACAUGUAAAGUGUUGGUCCCAUGUUUCAUGAGCUGAAAGAAAAGUUCCUAGAAAUGUUCAACGACUCUAAGCACACAGGAAAGACAAUGCAGGAGUAUCUUCGGGACAAGUCUCUGAAUGUCCUUGAGUGGCCCGGACUUGAAUCCAAUUUAACAUCUCUGGAGAGACCUGAAAAUAGCUGUGCAGCGACGCUCCCCAUCCAACCUGACAGAGAAUCUGCAGAGAAGAAUGGGAGAAACUCCCCAAAUACAGGUGUACCAAGCUUGUAGCGUCAUACCAAAGAAGGCUCGAGGCUGCAAUUGUUGCCAAAGAUGCUUCAACAAAGUACUGAGUAAAGGGUCUGAAUACUUAUGCUAAUGUGAUAUUUCCGUUUUUUAUUUUUAAUACAUUUGCAAAAUUUCUAAAAACCUGUUUUUGCUUUGUCAUUAUGGAGUAUUGUGUGUUGAUUGAUGAGGGAUUUUUUUUUAAAAUCAAUUUUAGAAUAAGGCUGUAAUGUAACAAGAUGUGGAAAAAGUCUAGGGGUCUGAAUACUUUGUAGAUGUUUCAUCACCUAUCGGUCACACAUCUACCUGUCACGCCGGCUCCCACUCUCCCUCUCAGGCUGCCCUUCAUUGCGCACACCUGUCACCAUCAUUCCGCGCAUUAGCACUCACUGGACUCAACUGGACUCCUUCACUUUGUUGAUUACCUUCCCUAUUUCUGUCUGCUUCCGCUUUUGUUCCCUGUGUCAGCAUUAAUGUCAUUAUUUGUUCAUGUCCAGACGCUGUCCUGUUUUAUGUCCGUUGGUUAUUAAAUGCUCACUCCCUGUACCUGCUUCCUGUCUACCAGCGUAGAGCCUUACACUACCGAAACCACAGAGAUCAACACUUAGCAGCUAAUCGAAGGUCUCAAAAAGAAUAUCUGUAUUUCAUUUUGAAAAUCAGGGAAGAACACUGCCUCCCAGCUACGGUACAUAAUAGCAUUGUUGAAGACCACAGAACAAUUGUUGAUGCAUUUAUGACACACUACAGUGAUGCCCUCAGGUUUCACCUUACAAAUUAGCAAAUACAUGUGGAUGAAGAUGGUGAGGAAUGCAUUAGAUGCACAAGCUCUGAGUGGAUACUGGAGCAUUACUGUGUGAAAUAAUUGGGAAUGGUCAGGCCAAGUGUCACAACUCCUACCGAAGGUGGCUCCCCUUCCUGUUCGGGUGGCGCUCGGCGGUCGUCGUCACCGGCCUACUAGAUGCCACUGAUCCCUUUUCCCCUUUCUGUUUAUUGGUUUCACCUGUUUUGUGUGUAGGCUAUUAGUCGGGCUAUGUUAACCAGUAGGCCCGCCUGCUCUUUGUGAGGGAUUGGUUUGUGUUGCUCUGAGCACGUUCGAUGUUGACGUGUUUCGUUCAUGGGUUUUUCUCCAGACUGUUUGAGUCCCUGUGUUUGGGGCAUUUGUUUUGUGUGCGCCCUGUGUUUCGUGGGGUGGCUUAUGUUCGCGGUGUGUGCAAUAAAUAGCACUACCCUGUACUCUCUGCUUCCUGUGCCUGACUUCACACCCACUACGCCCAGAGCGUUACACCAAGUGAAGUACCCCUGAGCAACAAAGAAGGUUAUAAAACAAGGUCAUUUGAAUACAUCCCAUUGGUCAGCAUACUGCAAAAAUAGCAAGUAAUGAAGAGGUCUGGACCACCUUGAAUCAAGACCAAAAGCCACAUAAUGAUGAGAUUCUAGAAGACUUUACAGACGGUGAAUUGUUCAAAUCCCAACCUAACAAAGCAGAGCCUCCAUCUGCAGUUUUACAUAGAUGAAUUGGAAGUUGUCAAUCCACUGGGUUCUAAAAAAGGCAAGCACAAAUUGACCACUGUGUACUUUAGAUUAGGAAAUCUUGACCACAAGGAUACUCCCCAACUCCAGAAUAUAUACCUCUCCACAUUGGUUCAUCACCGCCUCAUUCGAAUACAAGUCACCACUUACUAAGAAGCAUUGGAGCAUUUGAUACGUGAAAUCCAGGAAUUGGAAGCACUGGGUGUGAAGUUAACAUGCAAUGGUGAAGACAAAACCUUCUGAAUAACAAUCACAACAGUCUCAGCAGAUGAUCUCUCCUCACGCAGGGUUGCAGGGUUGAGAAAAAAACGUUUCCUCUGGUCGCAUUUGUCGCUUCCAGACAUUGCAUCGAUGUAUUGGCAUCAAAAAAGCCUGUUGCUUCUCUCAGCUGAAUCAUGUGCCAUCUCCCAUUAUGUAUCUGUUUCCACCAGACGUCAUGCAUAACAUUCACGAGGGCAUCAUACCCACAUUGCUCAGACUGGUGUUGCAACAAUUACUCUUGUCCAGAUCAACUAUGAGGUUGAGAACUUGUCUUAUGGCAACGAGAUGUGUCUUCUAAACCUGCUCCACUAUCCGAGAGAGUCCAAAGGAAGAAUGGCCAUCUAUCAGGAAGUUCAUCAGAACAAUUAGCACGUUUUCGUUUACUCCCCCAAAUGAUUGGUAGUCAAAUACAAAAUGGCAGUGCUUGGAAUCUCUACGUCCUGUUUCGAGAGGUAUCUGAUGUCAUCUUGGCCAGCAUUUUAAGAUGAUCCUAGAUCCCAUAUCUGGCAGAAAAAAAUCACAGAAUUUCAAGCUCUCUUCCAGGAGCUGUUUCCAGGGAAGACAAUCGCAAAGAUGCACUACCUAGUCCACUACCCUAGCCUGCUAUGGACCUUUGAUGCACCAGUCCUCCAUGCGAUUUGAAGCGAAACACCAGUAUUUCAAGAGGCUCUUAGCAGUUGUGGAAAACCGUAAAAAUACAACGAAGACCCUGGCUAAAAGACAUUAGCUCUGACAAUGCUGGGAGCAAACCAACAACAACUGCCUUGGCAACAACAACACACUGUAUGGACACAAGAGACUUCCAACUGAGACGUCCCACUGCAUGCACUUCCAAACUCUGCCCAUGUAGUGUUAAGUGCCAGAUUCGGAUGAAAUCAUCAGAGCAAAAUGUGUCUCCAAGACAAUGUCCAUUGCAGUGAACAACGAGCGGUACAAUGUAGGAGACUAUCUGGUUAUUGACACUCAUUCAGAAGAGAUUCAUGUGUUCAUGGAAGUGUGUGGAAUAUACAGAUUCCUUGGUGCUGGUGUGGUAAAGUACUGCUACCAGCCAGUUUCAACAACCAUCACCACGCAGACAUGGUUCAACACAGUCAACAAUGGUUUCUAUAAGUCCUGUUGAGGAGAUGGAUUUCCAUGGGUUAGAUGGAUACAGGGACCCAGAGGGAAGAGUGUCCAUUCCAUUCUGCCACUGGUUUGCGGUUAGUUCAAAUCAUAGAUUUAUUCAUUUAGGAAGCACAAUGCACUUUUAUUUUCAUAUGGGUUUCCUAUUCUGAUACACACUAACCAAAACACUGACAUGUUCUUUUUAUUUAGGGUAUUUUUCCCCACAGAACACCAAAUUGAUGGAGAGACAUUGAUGUCAUUGGACCAAAGAAUAGUGGAGCAAAUUGUGUCAGUAGUCUAAGUUUGAAUCAAAUUCACAAAAUUAAUCCAAAAGCUGUAAAUAUGUAAGUCAAUGUAUGACUAUCAUCUGCAUCAUUGAUUCUAUCACAGUGAUCCUAUUCACAUUCACAUUCUCUGCUCUUUUGUUUUCUUUCUGAGCCUGAAAGCACAAUAAACGGUAUUAUUGUCAGUUCCCAGCAAACAGCCCAGCAAAUGACCCAGCAGCAUCUGUCCAGCACAAUGACCCAGCAUCUGUCCAGCAAAAUGACCCGCCAUCUGUCCAGCACAAUGACCCAGCAGCAUCUGUCCAGCAAAAUGACUCAGCAUCUGUCCAGCAAAAUGACUCACCAUCUGUCCAGCACAAUGACCCAGCAGCAUCUGUCCAGCAAAAUGACCCAGUGUAACAGUAUAACUUUAGACCGUCCCCUCGCCCAUACCCAGGCGCGAACCAGGGACCCUCUGCACACAUCAACAACAGUCACCCACGAAGCAUCGUUACCCAUCGCUCCACAAAAGCCGCAGCCCUUGCAGAGCAAGGGGAACUACUACUUCAAGGUCUCAGAGCAAGUGACGUCACCGAUUGAAACACUAUUUAGCACGAACACCGCUAACUAGCUAGCCAUUUCACAUCUGUUACAUCAGCAUCUGUCCAGCAAAAUGACCCAGGAUCUGCCCAGCAAAAUCACCCAUUAAUUAGCCUUCAGCAUGAUAUAUCAACUGGCCAGCAACAGGAAACAUAAUUCAGCCCGAAUCUGGCCAUCUGGGCUUUUAGACUUCCAGAAUUUCCAGACGUAUUAAAAGAAAAACCUGAAAGAAAAUGUGACGAUCUCCGUUGCCCUGCGGUUCUCUCGAAGUGGAGGUCUCAGAUUGGGCAGGUGUUGUUUGCCUUCAUGUGUACCUAUACUUGGUGAGUAUAGUUAUGUAGUAAACUGAUGUUAGCUUAAUGUUAAUGAUAUAAGUUCAUACAUGCUUGUUUGUGUGUUUGUGUGUGUGCAUCAGCCUGAGCCCUUCUCCUGUCUCUGUCCUCCAUACUCUGUCUUCUCAUAAUCACUGCAGCUUAUAGCAUAGCACAUAGUCAACUUCUACAUGAUGAUAAUCAACACCAUCAGUCAAUGUCAUUUGUAUUAUGAACAUAAUUGUUAGUCUAACUAUAUUCUUGUAUGUUUCUACUCUCGUUGAGAGACCAGACAGUGAAGGGAUAUGUACGAAUUCUUCAGUUUUCAUACUCACGCUAAUAACCUUUUUACACUAUUGUGCCUACCCAGAUCAUAAUGUGCUGGCUUGGAUAUUUUCUUCUCACAUUGUUAAACCAUCACAUUUCCAGCAGCAUAACAAGACCAUCUCUAUUCUGCUCCUCUGACCUCGGUCCCAAUAAUCCAUCAUUUCUCCUCUCCACAUUUUAUUUUUUAAGGAGUCAUGGAACGGCAUGAUAAAGAAUAAAUACAAGUACAGGAAAUGCAGAAGAAGUUUAGGGGGCAAGGGAAAAAAUAAACCCAGAUGACAUCAAAAAUGAAGACCUGACCAAAAUAGCCAAGAUUGAGAUUGGUGAGAAUUCCUUCAGUCAAGAGUUACAUGUUGAACAGAUGCAGGUGGAAUGCCAAGAAAAGAGACCGAACAUCAGUUCCCUACAAGACAAAACGAAAAGGACUGAAAAAUAACGUUUUUAUGAAACAAGGCACCAAGGACAUCUUAAAACUGUACCCAGCACUCCAUUUGUCAGCCAUUGUCUGAAGGUCACUGCAGCCAUUUUGCUCCUCCCCUACCUGUUCAAAGAAGAUCCAAGUGGGUACGUCACAGGUGAGGGGAAUACCUUUACGGAUGAGAGCCACAUUCAACUCUUCCUGGAUGGAGAGGAGCUACUCAUUAAAGAGCUGGAGGACAUCUCCAUGGAUUGGGAGUGGCAAUGGGGGUCCAUUUCCUUUUUAAUAUUGAGUAUGCAGCAUCAUUAAAAAGCACUACGCUGUUCAUUCAGAUGUGUUCUGGGAAUUGAUGAGGGAGAUAAAUUACCAACAAAUGUAGGAAUGGCUAACUUUUUGCUGUAGAGAUGGAUAAGGGAGACCAGAGAUUUCUGGGACGUCUGCAAGUGAGAUUUCUGGGACGUUUAAAGUCAAUAAAAUGAAUUUGUGACUUUACAAGUUCACCACUCAAUGUUAUUUGUAUUAUUAUUGUUCAUAGUAUUAUUAUUGUUAUUGUUCAUAAUGGAAUACAUGGGUCAUAAAAGUUUCCUACAGGAACCUUAACGCCCUAAAAGGUUAUUUGAGGAACCUUUUUAAAAGAUUCCUCAGGGAAAAGGUUCCUGAAAGCAAAGAGAGUUCCAAACCUCUCUGACAAUGGGCGAAUUCGAUUAUAGACCGGACACCGGUCUGUGGCCUGUACAUGUUAUCAACAAGGCAGCAUGUUGCAUCAUCCAGAAACGCACAUCUCCUUUCUACAAAAUACAUGUUCGAUUUGUUUUUUUUGGGGGGGGGUUGCGCCACGGGAUUUUCUUUCAGGAGUAGAGGUUUCUCCUCCGUGUGUUGCGAUUAUUCCCUGUGUGUGGCGACUUCGUUUGGGCGUGUUCUUCCACCUGUUGUUGUUGAGUUGGGACUUCUAAUAAACGAUUGUGCUACUGGGG